rnacentral:lncRNA from 1 species
AAACAGCACAAAGGGCACUCUUAUGCUGCUGUAAACCAGUGCCAGGAUUUUUAAAAUGUGAGACACCUGUUACCCUGUGCCCAGAUUUCAUAUUGUUCAAACACACAUGCUCUACAUACAAUUUGUGCAGUUAAUGCAAUCAUCACAAGGUCCUAGGCCGACCUACAGCCUCAGCUUACGAAGAUGACAAGAUUAAGAGAUUAAAGUAAAGACAGGCAUAAGAAAUCAAAAGAGUAUUGAUUAAGGAAGUGUUUAUGUUCUUCUGCCAUGGCUUCAGCCGGUCCCUCCAUUCAAGGUCCCUGACUUCCUGCAACAGGGGGCAAAGGACUCUUUGUCUUCAAAUUUCCCUCCACCUUGCUCAUCAUCAAGAGAGUGUGAAGAGGAGGAGAAAGGCUGAAGAGGAGGAGAAAGGCUAAGAUCUUUUCCAAUGCAAAAUUAGGAAAAAAUAUACUACAGAUUUAUGAAAAAAUAAGAAGUGAAAGUAUUCUCUGACUGCAAGUAUGACCACCUGUCUUUCUAUAUCAGGUUGAUAAUUUCUAACAUGUUCCUUUGUAAUUGUUUCUCAAUUUUGUGCUGAAUGUUGACCAUGUGCAUUUCCAUUUCUUCAACAAAAUCACAUUUGUCUUUAGAGCACUGUUGUUACUGUGCACAGCACUCUCCCCAUGCCUGAACUGUCAACAAUCCACUGAGUAGGACAUAUGCCCAGCUGUCUGACUAAAGCUGAGCAUUGUGGGCCGUGGCUUUCAAAUACUCCAGUGCUUUCACAGAUGAUCUGGGGAGGAAACUAGUGACUCCACACCUUUAAUUUAAUAAUAUUGCCCCAAACAAAUGAGUAAAACAGAGAAUAAAGAGGGCAAAUAAGUA